AUUGAACGCUGGCGGCAGGCUUAACACAUGCAAGUCGAGCGAGCGGCGGACGGGUGAGUAAUGUCUGGGAAACUGCCUGAUGGAGGGGGAUAACUACUGGAAACGGUAGCUAAUACCGCAUACUAUCAGUUGAGCCCAUAUGGGAUUAGCUAGUAGGUGGGGUAAGGGCUCACCUAGGCGACGAUCCCUAGCUGGUCUGAGAGGAUGACCAGCAACACUGGAACUGGGACACGGCCCAGACUCUUACGGGAGGCAGCAGGGGGGAAUAUUGCAAAAGGGGCGAAAGCCUGAUGCAGCCAGGCCGCGUGUGUGAAGAAGGCCUUCGGGUUGUAAAGUACUUUCAGCGGGGAGGCGUUACCCGAAGAAGAAGCACCGGCUAACUCCGUGCCAGCAGCCGCGGUAAUAC
rnacentral:rRNA from 1 species